ACUCGGGCACUGUGGUGUGAAGUUAGAGAUGACAACACACCGCCGCCCGCUCUCUCACAUCGAGCCCGUUAACAUUCAAACGUUUUAAAACUCGUUUUGGGGUCGUUACACGGACACUGCCACUGCCACUGGUGAAUAUGAUUGAAUGAGGUACUUGUGUUAUGUUCUGUAAACCACGGGGUUUGUCAUUGUUUUCAUUUUUGUGCGAUUGUGGCCUCGGUUUUACUUUGAAGGAGAGGCGCUGUACUUCCGGCACAACCGACCAUUGUGCGUGUGGCUUGACGCAGCUCUUGGGCCUGCUGUGUUUUCAACGGAGGGAGAGCCAAGAAGAAAAAUGGCGUCUGCAGGCGACCCAGAGCGGGACACCGGCCAUUCAGUUUGAGCUUUCCACCCUGGAAUCGAGACCGGGGCCUGGCGGAGACUUGGCGGAAACCGUCGCUGGAGCCAUUAGUUUUUUUCCACCCCCUUUUUCCCCUGUGUGCGCGGCUCACUCAGGCUCCGAGAUUGAAGCGGAACAGCAGAGACUCUCUCCUACGAUGAGGGGGAGAAGAGGAAGGCCGCCCAAACAAGCAGCCGCGAUGCGGGAGGGUUCACCCGGGCCAGUCCGCGGCUCUCGGGGCGGCAGGAGCAGAGGGAUGCGCGGACGGGGCAGGGGCAGAGGUCGGGCCAGGGGACGCGGAGCGAGCGGUGGCGUCUGCGGCACUGGCUUAGCGGAAGUGGAUGCAGAAAUCUCCGGCCGAGAGAACUUUCAUUCGUCCCGGGGCCGCAGGAAAGUUGGAGCCUCCAUCGCGGAGGCGGCCGCGGCAUCGCGGAGCAGAGGCGGCAGGGGGAGAGGCAGGGGGUCGAGAGGCGGCCGCGGCAACAGAGGCGGAGUGCGGCGGCCGCAGAACAAGGUGGUCUACGACGACAACAGCGACGAGGAGGACGACCAUUUCAGCUACAGGUCGGAGGAGGACGAGCUCCUCAACGACAACCCCUCGUCGGACCUCGAAGAGGAGGAGGAGGAGGAGGCCUUGGGAAACGAGUCCGACUAUCUGGAGGAGCUGCCGUGCGAGGAUGACGCCAGCUACUGCACGGAGAGCAGCUUCAGGAGCCACAGCACGCUCGGCAGCGCCCCAGGCCCGAGAAGGAGUCGGGCUUUGCAACCUCAGUCUCCCAUCCUGGAGGCAAAAGACAUUCCUCCCUUGGAGCUUCCCAAGUCGUCUGAGGACCUCCCGGUUCCUACCUCACAGCUCCUCAAUGUAUCUGCUGUCUACGAGGUCCUCCGCAACUUUGGCUCGGUGCUGCGGCUCUCUCCGUUCCGCUUUGAGGAUUUCUGUACAGCACUGGCCAGCCAGGAGCAGUGCACACUGCUGGCUGAGACCCACAUCUCCCUGCUCAAAGCUAUUCUCAGAGAGGAGGACACUUCCAACACCACAUUUGGCCCGGCAGACGUGAAGGACUCUGUUAACUCCACUCUGUAUUUUGUCGAUGGUAUGACCUGGCCAGAGGUGGUGCGGGCGUAUUGUGAGAGUGACCCGGAGUACAGGCAUAUUCUCCCUUUCCAAGAGUGUGAGGAUUACCCGUUUGAACCAUUGGACAGCAAAGUUAAAGUUCUUCAGUUUUUGGUGGACCAGUUCCUGGCAACCAAUAUUGCCCGGGAGGAACUAUUGUCAGAAGGGGUGGUCGCCUACGAUGACCACUGCAGGGUGUGCCAUCGCCUUGGUGACCUGCUGUGCUGUGAGACAUGUUCAGCCGUUUACCAUCUGGAGUGUGUGAAGCCACCAUUGCAGGAAGUGCCAGAGGACGAGUGGCAGUGCGAAGUGUGUGUAGCACACAAGGUACCUGGUGUUGCCGACUGCAUCCCAGAGGUUCAGAAGAGCAAGCCCUUCAUUCGGCAACUGCCAGUCGGCUAUGACCGACACCAACGCAAAUAUUGGUUCCUGAAUCGCCGUGUUGUUGUUGAAGAGGAUGGUGAGCAGGAGGACAAAGCCAUCUGGUACUACAGCAGCAAGGUCCAGCUGGCUGAGCUGAUAGAUUGCUUAGACAAGGAGUACUGGGAGGCCGACUUGAAUGCAGCCCUUGAGGAGAUAAGGGACGAGGUGCACACGCAUAUGGACAUCACUGAAGACCUGACCAAUAAGGCCCGUGGCAGCAACAAGUGUUUCCUCACUGCUGCCAGUGAGGAGAUCCUGGAGCGGUUGCGGGCGAAGAAGGAGGAGGAGCUGGAGGAGGUGAAAAGACGAGCUGCAGAGGAAGCCCAUAAAGCACGGAUGGAGAAGGAAGAUGGAGAUGUCAGGCUGAAAGAUGAGGGGCAUCAGGAUGGCAAGGAAAUGACAGAGGAGGAGGAGAUAAGUGAAGAGACCGCACAGGAGAAAAGGGAUGGUUUCAAAACUGGAGCCCCACCCACUGGCCAAGAAGGCAGUAGUGGCAGUAACUUCUCAGAUGGGCCGAUACGUCCUGUAACCUCUGCUCCUACACAAACCACCACCGUGGGGGCAUGUCUGGCUACUGAGGCUCCAAAGCCCCCGACCUCCACCGUAGAGGCUCGGAUAGAGGGCUGUUCCCAUAUGGAGGCCUCUAACAACACAGAAGAACCCCCAUCAUCAGAUUGUGUUAGUGGAGAUGGAAUCCCCAGCCUGACCCAGCCCCCCCAGACCAGUGAAGAGAACAGUAACGGCAGCAUGGGAGCUGGGGCUCUUCCCAGGGGUCCCGAACCCCCAGACUUGGCUGACAAGUCCUCCCAGUCGUCCCUGGCGAGCUUCGAUGACACAGGAGAUGGUAAAGACUCGGCCAACGGCGAGACAACGGGUCUCAGCAGUAAGAAGUCUUCAGCAACUCGCAUGGUGACCCGGCUGAGGAACCCGGACAGCAAGCUGAGUCAGCUGAAAAACCAACAGGUGGCUGCUGCUGUUCAUGAAGCCAACAAGGGCUUUAAAGAGGGCAAAGAGGUACUAGUAGUAAAUGCACAAGGUGACGUGACGCGUGUCAGCACGCGCAGCAGCAAAGACGUGGUGAUGAAGGGGUCCCUCAGUCAAUACUUCAAGCUUGGCCAGGAGGGCAAGUACCGCGUCUAUCAUAACCAGUACAGCUCCAACACUGUGGCCCUGAACAAGCACCAGCACAGAGAGGACCAUGACAAGAGGCGGCAUCUCUCGCACAAGUUCUGCAUGACACCUGCAGGGGAAUUCAAGUGGAACGGGUCCAUUCAUGGCUCGAAGGUUCUGACCAUCUCCACACUGAGACUCACCAUCAUCCAGCUGGAGAAUAAUGUUCCAGCACCAUUUAUGCAUCCCAACUGGGCCUCACACAGGACAAAUUGGAUCAAAGCAGUUCAGAUGUGCAGUAAGGCCAGAGAGUUUGCUCUGGCUCUGGCUAUCCUGGAAUGUGCCAUUAAACCUGUGGCCAUGCUGCCUGUUUGGAAGGACUCACUGGGCCAUACCAGGUUAAAUCGCAUGACAUCCAUGGAGCGAGAGGAGAAGGAGAAAGUCAAAAAAAGGGAGAAAAAGCUGGAGGAGGAAGAGACGAUGCUACAGGCCACUUGGGUCAAGUACACCUUCCCAAUUAAACAUCAGGUGUGGAAGCAGAAAGGAGAGGAGUAUCGUGUUACGGGCUAUGGGGGCUGGAGUUGGAUCAGUAAGACCUAUGUGCAGCGGUUUGUCCCCAGGCUCCCAGGCAACACCAAUGCCAACUACCGCAAAGAACUGGAAGAUGCGAAACUUGGCAAGAAAUGCUCCCUGUUGGACUUGAGUCGACGACCCAGUGUAGCCACCCCAGAAGCUCAGGGAGCUGCUGCUUCAGUCUGUGAAGCAAAAGAUCAAGGCUUAUGCAGCCUCUCCAAACCUGCAACCGAUCAUCUGCGGUCUGCUGAAGAGUUUGUGUCUAAUGAGAGGAUGAAAGAGGAAACAAAAGAAGAGGUGGAUAUAAAAGAAAAGAUGGAGGAAUCGCCUGUUGAUGAAUCACCUGCAAAAAUGGAGGUGGACCCCACAGAAUCAAGAUCGGAUGAAGAACAAAGCUCCAGUGUUCAGGAGGGUAAUGCUUCCAUGAAGGUCGAGCCAGCAGAUGACCCUCAACGACCCUUUUACUACGAUGUAGUGGAUGUCAGCAACGGAUUCCUCACCCGCGUAGCCUACAAGAAGAUAGUCAAGACCUCCAAGCUGGAUGGCUUGCUGGAGCGCAGAGUGAAGCAGCGCAUUAUUGAAGAGAAGCAGAGGCAGCAAGUGGCUGCCUCCAAACCCAAGACUCCUCCACCACUUUCAUCUACUUCAACCCCUGCUCUGAGCACUCCAGUCCGGCCACGGUCACCACUCAAGCCCAGUACUCUCGCUCAGACACAGCUCGCAUUGGGCAAUGCUGUGAAAGUGGAGGAGAAAUCUUCCACAAUUAAAACCCCUGGUGCAGGAGAAGUUAAAGGGGAGAGUCGAGCUGAACUCUCUAAAACUACACAGGAUAUUGUAACUCCCCUUCCUUCUCCUCAUCUGGACUCCACACCCAAACACAGUUGCAGUACAGGUACAAGUGGAGAUUUGGCUUCACCACGAAAUCAGACCACCUCCCUGCCCCAGGAACUGGUGGCAGACUCUGUGGAAAGGACUAUGGGGCCAAAAGAGACCACUGCAGACAUUUCAGGGCAAGAGGCUGUCAAACUGCCUGAAGUAGAGGAAAUAACAGCGCAGAGAACUCACAGCUCUUUGGAGCAACAAAAUGCCAUUGUAGCAUCAGAUGUUACCAAGGCUGCUCAUAUUGAAAAUACAGGAUCUGAGCUUCCCAAUUUAAAAUUGGACUCGGUAAGGACAUCUACAAGUGUACUUGACCCAAAAAGUGGUCAAAACACAAUGCCCUCUAAACCUGUCCAGCAAAACCUAGAAACUUUAAUCUCUGCACAUUCAGGCACUGAGGAAAAUGGCAUGGGCCCGGGAGAGAACCAAGAAAAUGUGCAAGAAAUUGGACAGCAUAGAACAAAAGGUAUUAGCACUCCAGAGCUAGUUUCUCCUGUCCCUCGGGUAAAUGGUAAUGAUGGCUUGGGGAGUGAAAGCAUGUUGACUAAGUCUGUAAUGAGUUCAAAUAAUGGUGUGCUCACCAACAGUCCCCAACCCAAGGUGAACAGCACUGGUAAAAUAGAAGACCAUGGCCUUGUUGUCUCGCUGAAGGACAACACGCAGCAAAAGCCUUUGGUGAAUGGAGAUUUGGCAAAUGAUUGCACAGAGAUUGGGGUAAAAGAUCCAGAUCUAGUAUCGAAGGUAGAGGUAGAGAGCAAGACAGCGAUAUCAGACCAGAACUACAAACCUCCAGUAAAGAUACCAAGGCUGGAAAACAACUUGGUUGCACUUGGAGCUAAUACUCAGAGCACUCUGCAGCACAAAAGCCCAUCGCCGUUUCAGACCGUGGAGACCAAAGCCAGUCCUGCAGUCAAGAUCAUCAGAAUGGCGCCAUCUCCUAUACCUUCAGCAGAGGAGUCCAGUCUGAGCGAUGAAUUUGCUGAGGAGAAUAGUAACAGUGGGCCGACGGAGCCACGGAAAUCUGUGGUCACCCAGGUAACCACAACUUCCACCACCACCACCACAACAGUAGUUUCCACAGAGAGGAGGAUAGCCAGCGCGCCAUCCAGUGGAUCUGGAGGGUUGGUGUCAACAACAGAAAGCAGCGCAGUGUCCGCUCUUACAACCCUGACCAAAACGACUGUGACCAAAAUCUGUUCCCCCGGGCUCGAUGGUCAGUCUGAAGAUGGCCAGGGUGAAAUGGUGACACAAGAACAGAGGACGAUGCUCUUGGCCUCUGUCAGUAAGUCAACAACUGACAGUAAUGGUAAAGUCUCGGUAGCAUCUCUCGCUGUGAGCCAAGAGGACUCUUUAUCAACAAAGGGCCGCGUCCGCCUCCUCAAAUUCUCCCGCACCAAGAAGACGCGCUCGGACACCGCUCUCCCUUCUUACCGCAAGUUUGUCACCAAGAGCAGCCGCAAGAGUAUCUUUGUUCUGCCACAUGACGACUUGAAGGUGUUAGGGAGGCGAGGCGGAUUCCGUGAGGUCCCUGUGUUUAGCUACAAUGCCAAGCCAGCCUCGGAUAUCUGGCCAUAUCCUUCACCCAGGCCUACGUUUGGCAUCACCUGGAGAUAUCGCCUGCAGACGGUGAAGUCUCUGGCCGGUGUGAGUCUGAUGCUGAGGCUGCUGUGGGCCUGUCUGAGAUGGGACGACAUGGCCGUCAAACCAUCCGCUGCCGUCGGCACCACACGCACAGCCCUAUCCCCACUCAUUGCUACAGAGACAUCAGAUACUGAAAUCACCACCACAGAGAUCAUCAAGCGCCGCGACGUGGGACCCUACGGCAUUCGCUCAGAGUACUGCAUCCGCAAAAUCAUAUGUCCCCUCGGAGUGCCUGAGACUCCGAAAGAAACCCACACCCCUCAGAGGAAAGGGUUGCGCUCCAGUGCCUUGCGCCCCAAGAAGCCUGAGCCUGCCAAGCAGACGGGCCCAGUGGUGAUUGAGACGUGGGUGGCUGAGGAGGAGCUGGACCUAUGGGAGAUCAGAGCCUUCUCAGAAAGGGUGGAGAAGGAGAAAGCUCAGGCAGCAGAGCAGGCCAAGAAACGUCUCGAGCAGAAACCUGGUUUGGGCACAGCUACUCCAACAGGGACUCCCGCAACAUCUGCCAUCACACCCAAAGUCAUUAUCGGUUCAUUGACAGGCCAGGGCACGCCCACCACCAAGGUGGUACUGUCCACCAAGAUGGGCACCCCCGUCACAUUCCAGCAGAACAAGAACUUCCAGCAGUCGUUUGCCACCUGGGUCAAGCAGGGUCAAAGCACACAAGGAGCCGGCACUGAGACCACCCUGGCCACAUCUGGUGGCCACACCUUCCAGAUUACGGGAACGUCGGUGGGUGGAAAGGUAUUGACCACGAAGCUGCCUCUGCCCGCCAACAGCAAGAUCGUCACAGUCAACGUGCCAACUUCACAAGGAGGUGUGGUUCAGCAGAAAGUGUUGGGUAUCAUCCCAUCCAGCACGGCGGGCGGCGCCCAGACCUACACCACAUUCCAACCACGCACUACCACGCUCAACAUCAGGCCCAACACCCCAGGCGCCCAGCAGCAGGUUCUGACAACGAGUACUCAGAUCCGUCCAGGAAUGACCGUGAUCCGAACCCCGAUCCAGCAGACAGGACCCAUGGGAAAGACGAUACUUCGAACACCUCUCGUGGUCCAGCAAGGUCAGGGUGGCCAGCAGGUAGUGACGCAGAUCAUUCGAGGGCAGGCAGUUUCCACUGCAAUAUCUGGUGCCAGCCCUGUUGCCACUGUUACCGGCCAGGGGGCAGCCAGCUCCGCUGGGCAGACUCCACCCGGCACCCCACGGGCACAAGGGCAAGGCCAGGUUAAACUGACCAUGGCACAGCUCACCCAGCUCACACAGAAGCAGCAGGCCGUGUCAGGUGUGGAUCGGCAGGCUGGUGUUGGUGGUACCCAACAGGCUCUGACGGUGAUGGUUCAGGGCCAGGGCCAGACCACCGGCCAGCUGCAGGUCAUACCACAUGGGGUCACCGUCAUCCCAGGACCUGGGCAGCAGCUCAUGCAGGCGUCAUUGCCCAACGGCCAGGUGCAGCGCUUCCUCUUCACCCCAUUGGCCUCAGCUGCCACACCCACGUCAAGCACAGCCAACGCAGGUCCCGGUCAGCCCAACUCCACCUGUACCAAAACCCCAGCCCAGCCUGCCCAGCAGGCAGCAGCCCCCAUUCAGGCAGGGGCGCCUCCACUGGCCACCACCAGCAGCCCCACCUCAGCCACCCCACAGGGCCAGCUGCCACCUCAGACGCAGGCCCACAUGCCCAUCCAGUCGCCCACCUCGCUGCAGGUUAAAGCACAGGGAGGAACAUCCCAGCUGCAGCUGCAGCAGACGCCUCAGCUCAUCAGCGUGUCUGGACUGCAGCAGCAGGUACAGGUGCUGGCCCAGCUGCAGGCCCAGCAGGGUGGAGGCUCUCUGCCACAGCACAUCAAACUGCAGCUUCCUAUCCAGAUACAACAAACUGGGACCACCUCAGCUCAGGGCGGACAGAUUGGGAACGUGGUGACCAUCCAGGCAGCUUCUGUCCAGGAGCAGCUGCAGAGGAUCCAGCAGCUCAGAGAGCAGCAGCAGCAGAAGAAGAGACAAGCCGCAGAAGCCAAGAGAGAGCAAGCCCUCAACUCGGCCAGCCAGAGCGACAUCAUUCAGAAACAGGUGGUGAUGAAACAAAACGCUGUGAUCGAGCAUCUGAAGCAGAAGAAGACCAUGACGCCAGCAGAGAGAGAAGAGAAUCAGAGGAUGAUCGUAUGCAACCAAGUGAUGAAGUACAUCCUGGACCGGAUAGACAAGGAUGACAGGCAGGCGGCCAAGAGGAGGAAAAAAGAGGAGGUGGUGGAGGCGAAAAAGAGGCUGGCCAAUGCCAGCAAGCUCUCCUCGCUCCUUUACCGGCACAAAGAGAGCCUCAAGAUGGAGAUCCUGAAGAAGCGAGCACUUCUUGACAAGGAGCUGCAGCUCGAGGCCCAGGAGGAGCUGAAGCGGGACCUGUUGCGGAUGCGGAGGGAGAAGGAGAGGGCUCAGGCUGCAGCCCACCAGGCAGCGCAGGCCGCAGCGCAGGCCGCCCACAACCAGCAGCAACACACUCUGGUACACGCGCACAGCGCUCAGCACCACCACACCACAGCCGUCACCCCCACGCACAAGAGGAAACGGGAGGAGGAGAGAGAGACCGCGACGUCCGCCAAGUCCAAGAAGAAGAAGAUGAUCUCGACGACGAGUACCAAGGACAGCAAGAAGGAAAUCAAGCUCUACUGCAUCUGCAAGACGCCCUAUGACGAGACCAAGUUUUACAUAGGCUGCGACCUUUGUACCAACUGGUACCACGGCGACUGUGUGGGCAUCACAGAGAAGGAGGCCAAGAAAAUGGACGACUACAUAUGCUUAGAGUGUAAACGGGGCCAGGAGAGCAGCACGGAGGAGUUGUACUGCAUCUGCCAGACGCCGUACGACGAGUCCCAGUUCUACAUCGGCUGUGAUCGGUGUCAGAACUGGUACCACGGUCGCUGUGUGGGCAUCCUGCAGAGCGAGGCCAAUCACAUCGACCAGUACGUGUGCCCGCAGUGUCAGUCGACCGAGGACGCCAUGACGGUCUUCACGCCGCUCACCGACAAGGACUACGAGGGUCUACGGAGAACCCUGCGUUCUUUACAGGCGCAUAAAAUGGCGUGGCCGUUCCUGGAGCCAGUGGACACGAAUGACGCCCCAGACUACUACAGGGUCAUUAAGGAACCGAUGGACCUUUCCACCAUGGAGGAGAGGCUACAGAAGCGCGAGUACGUGAAGCUCACCGAGUUUGUAGCAGACAUGACCAAAAUCUUCGAUAACUGCCGCUACUACAACCCCAGUGACUCGCCCUUCUACCAGUGUGCCGAGGUUCUGGAGAACUUCUUUGUCCAGAAGCUCAAAGGCUUUAAAGCCAGCAGAUUGUGAUGUCAAACUCCUGGGUGCCGGGGUCACUCUUAAAACAAACAAAAACAAUUUGCUCUCCUGGGUUAUUGCUGUUUUACAACAGCAUUCAAAACUUUGUCUCAUAACAACAAGCUACAGUCAGCAGCCUCUUAGCUCCCUCCUAACAAAAAAAACAAAACAAGUGUCAAAAAGACGAGGAGUGUGGUUUUCCUCUGAACGAUUACGCCCUGUGGUCCCGGUCAGGCUGCACCCGAACCUGAGCCCGCUGUCGAGGAGAGCGCACUGCCCGCCGCAAAUCAGCGUGCAGUGGCGUCAAAGAGCCCGGCCUCGCCUCCCAACACCUGUACUGCCGUGCGAAGGGGGAAAGAAGUGAAUUCAAAAGCCCCUUUUUCAUCUUAAACAUCAGUGGGACAAAGAGAAAGAAGUCCCACCUUCAGACCGGGGACGGGGGCGUCCACAGACACUUGUUUGGCCGCCUGUCUCCUCCCAGCCAGCCGCUCCUACCAGUGCAGCCUGCUCCAUGAGAAGACAGAUCCGGAUGUUGGAGGCACGAUGGCAGAUGGAACUGACGAGUGGUCUGGUGGGAUGUGCAGUGGCAGUCCGAUCUCAUGGCAACAGCACACACUCUUGAAGAGCCCUGUUCUUUCUGUAGCUGAUCACUAUUUUUGUGUGUCCUAUAUAGCAAAGUGUUUCGCUUUGUUCCUCCCGCCCAGAGGUUCAACUUUCAUUUAAUCCUGUCACGUUUCCAUACAGAUACAGACAUCCAGCAUUCAGGCUUCGUCCCCUGCUCCAAGUGGGCACAGUCAACAAGUCCAGAGAUGUCCCGGUCGCGCUUCACAUGAGGCCUGAUAUGCAGGAUCUGCAGGCUUCACAUCCACGGACGGUACCGAGCAGUUCAUACCUGAGAGCAGCUUUUUAUUUUUGUAUGAGCAUUCUUUCUCCAUCAACAAACUGACCCCAGUGAAACCAGUCCCUCAGGUUCGUCUCCCUGCUCGCAGCGUGAACCAGGCACAUAGGAUCUGAAUAUGUCUGUCAAUGGUGCAUUUCAUUUACAUUCCCUAAUCACAGUGGCCCGGCGCUUGGAUUUGUCAUGGACGCUAGAUGGAAAACUAUUAUUGUCAAGAGAUGACUCUUUGUGUCAGAUGAACCUCUCAGUGCGUGGGUGUAGGCAGCGCUCACUCAAAAUUAAUUCAAGGGACUUUUUUUUUGUCUUAGGGGCUGUGCCGCCUUCACCUUAAUUUCCAGAGGGAAACGCCCGGAUCAUGCCCCUCACACACCCACUGCACCCCGCCCUUCUCUUGACCUUUUCCCAUUCUGUGCUUUUCUGAAACUGCAAGUGAAGAACGUUGACGGCUCCUUUGAACUUGACCUUGUCGAAGGUCAAGCAGUAAGGAGAAGAGGGCGUCGAACAAAGGGGAAACUAACACACACACACACACACACACACACACACACACACAGCGUCUCCCUGAAAGCUCCGUGUCAGUUUCUGUCAGUGGCUGAGUCUGUAAGUCUCCCUCCUCUUAUCUAUCAGCCGCUUCUUCCAGCAUAUUUCAUUGACGUUGACAGGUUGGCUCACAUGUGUCUCUCAACUCGCCCUCAAAGCGUGGUUAAGUAAUUGGAUAAUGGACUUUUCCACUCAGCAUCAACUCAGUUAUGUUGCGGUCCGUGGCAGCAUGUCUGGGAGUCAACUCUGAGUGGGGACUGUGGAGUCUUUGUACCGUGGGGUUUGUAUGAAAAAUUUUAUAGCUAAAUUUUUUGCAUAUUUGGGAACAUUUUUUGUAACGUGUGAUUAUACUUUUUAUAGGAGGGGGAGCCGUCAUGAGACAGUUACAUUUGUCUCCAAGCGGAUGUUGAAAAACAAUUUUUCAAAUUAGAAAUCAGUCUGAAUCAGAAAGUUUUUUUAAUUUGUCUCUAGUGUGUACAAGGGUUGAGAGAUGAUGUAGCUUCUGUCUCCGUUUCUGUUUCUCUUUCACACAAACGUCCGACACUUUGUAAUCUGACGAUGAUGUUUCAUCCACUGUUUGUAAUCUUUAUUGUAUAUUAUUGCUGUCCAAAUAUGUAGAGAUUAAAGAUUUUUAGAGCACUAGAAACUUAAAUUUUUCACUUUUUGAAACAAGCAACUAAGCCCGCCAGUAUAUUUUAACUUUUUUUUUCUCUUAAUUGAAGUGAACUCUACAUUUAGGUGAAAUUGCCCUUUAUAUUAAAAGUGCUGCAUAUUGUGAGCAAACAGUUUUUGAAUUGGUUAGAGUGACACAGUGACUUAACUUGUAAAGAGCUUUACUUUCUUUUGUAAGAAACCAACCAAUCAAGCAUAACUUCUACAUUGACGUUGCAUUUCUUGUAUUAUUUAUUCAUAUCAAUGAAAGGUUCUCAAGUUUUGUUUACUUUUUUCUGGGGGUGGGGGAGGGGGGGGGGGGUAAUGUUGAAGCAACAAAACUGCAGAUUAAAAGUUCUCUAUGUUUUUAACAGAUUAUGGCAACUCUGAAGAGAUUCUCUUUUGUACUUGAUAGGACAUUUCAUCCUAGAUAAAGUAAUGUUUUGACACCA